rnacentral:pre_miRNA from 1 species
GUUCGCCUAAUCGUCGCCCAGCUCGGGAGCGGCUCGCCAUGGUCGCCAUUGACCGAUUUGAUGACGGAUCUAUGACACCUGGGCGAACUGUCCCCUGAGUGGGCCAAGGGUUGGGCAGCC